rnacentral:lncRNA from 1 species
GAAAAAAUGCUUCCUUUCUAAGUUUAUCUGAAGAUCGCAUUUCAAACAAUAUUUCCAACUUAGGUGUAUUUGUUGGUAUUAAUGGAGAUAAAGUUAGAGAAGCGACUAAGAAAUUUAAAAUUCUAGCAACUAAUAGGUUGGCCACAUCACAUCUGAAUAACAAUAAAGUUAAAAGGGACCCCUCUAGAGUGCUAGAUGACUUGGAUUUGCAGGAUGAUGAUGGCUUGGACCAAUUAUCUCUGUGUGAUGAUAGCUUCGCUGAGGAUAAUAGUCACCAAGGUGAUAUUUAUCAACUUGAGCCUAAGCAAAAAUCAAAAUCUAGAUAGUAAUGGCCUAGAUAGCAAAAAUCAAAAUCCAAAUAAAAAAGGGCCUUAGACAUGGCGAUCCACUCUCCCC